rnacentral:rRNA from 1 species
GGUGAGUAACACGUGAGCAACCUGCCCCUGACUCUGGGAUAAGCGCUGGAAACGGCGUCUAAUACUGGAUAUGUCCCAUCACCGCAUGGUGUGUGGGUGGAAAGAUUUUUCGGUUGGGGAUGGGCUCGCGGCCUAUCAGCUUGUUGGUGAGGUAAUGGCUCACCAAGGCGUCGACGGGUAGCCGGCCUGAGAGGGUGACCGGCCACACUGGGACUGAGACACGGCCCAGACUCCUACGGGAGGCAGCAGUGGGGAAUAUUGCACAAUGGGCGGAAGCCUGAUGCAGCAACGCCGCGUGAGGGAUGACGGCCUUCGGGUUGUAAACCUCUUUUAGCAGGGAAGAAGCGAGAGUGACGGUACCUGCAGAAAAAGCACCGGCUAACUACGUGCCAGCAGCCGCGGUAAUACGUAGGGUGCAAGCGUUAUCCGGAAUUAUUGGGCGUAAAGAGCUCGUAGGCGGUCUGUCGCGUCUGCUGUGAAAUUCCGAGGCUCAACCUCGGGCUUGCAGUGGGUACGGGCAGACUAGAGUGCGGUAGGGGAGAUUGGAAUUCCUGGUGUAGCGGUGGAAUGCGCAGAUAUCAGGAGGAACACCGAUGGCGAAGGCAGAUCUCUGGGCCGUAACUGACGCUGAGGAGCGAAAGGGUGGGGAGCAAACAGGCUUAGAUACCCUGGUAGUCCACCCCGUAAACGUUGGGAACUAGUUGUGGGGUCCUUUCCACGGAUUCCGUGACGCAGCUAACGCAUUAAGUUCCCCGCCUGGGGAGUACGGCCGCAAGGCUAAAACUCAAAGGAAUUGACGGGGACCCGCACAAGCGGCGGAGCAUGCGGAUUAAUUCGAUGCAACGCGAAGAACCUUACCAAGGCUUGACAUACACGAGAACGGGCCAGAAAUGGUCAACUCUUUGGACACUCGUGAACAGGUGGUGCAUGGUUGUCGUCAGCUCGUGUCGUGAGAUGUUGGGUUAAGUCCCGCAACGAGCGCAACCCUCGUUCUAUGUUGCCAGCACGUAAUGGUGGGAACUCAUGGGAUACUGCCGGGGUCAACUCGGAGGAAGGUGGGGAUGACGUCAAAUCAUCAUGCCCCUUAUGUCUUGGGCUUCACGCAUGCUACAAUGGCCGGUACAAUGGGCUGCAAUACCGUGAGGUGGAGCGAAUCCCAAAAAGCCGGUCCCAGUUCGGAUUGAGGUCUGCAACUCGACCUCAUGAAGUCGGAGUCGCUAGUAAUCGCAGAUCAGCAACGCUGCGGUGAAUACGUUCCCGGGUCUUGUACACACCGCCCGUCAAGUCAUGUAAGUCGGUAACACCUGAAGCC